rnacentral:lncRNA from 1 species
AAUAAUAUGAGCUAGGACAUUUGUCCACCUUAUUUUGCAAUGCAUAAGUAAGUUUUUCAUAGGUAAAUAACAAUAACUUAGAAAGUGCAGUUUUAUUUACACUAAAAACCAGUGUGUAAUAUGAUAAUAAAUAAAGAUAAUAGCCUUUGAUAAGAAAUACCAGUUUGCAAUAUCAAGCAGUAAAGGGGGCUGUUUUUGUACAGCUAAUACAACUGGAACUGAAUGACACUGGAAUUUUUGCACAUGCAAUUUACAAAUGGCCGCAAUUGCUCUAAUAUUAAUACAUAUAGCCUCGUUUUCAUUUAACUCAAUAUGGCGUCUUAAACGAAUAAGGUCUAUAGUCAUACCAGUAUAAAUAUUGUUAAGUACACAUUUUGAUGUAAUUAUCUUACAGUCUGAGGGGGGUAUUUGCAACAGUAACAGUACCACAAUAUUAAAAGUAGAACAGGCUUGUCGCUGUAAAAGCGCUGGUGGUCGGAGUCCCCCUCGGUAGGGUCCCUGUGGUGAGGCAGUGCUUGAUCGCUGAAGGAAUACUGAGAGUGAGUGAGCGAGCGCCCUCGCGGAGUUACAAACUGGAUGGAGCCAACUGAAGUACAUACUUUAGUUAUAUUAAGUGGAUUUUGACAGCGGAUCUCUGGCUUCAGUCUGACGACGUUUCCCACUGGAUCUUAUAGCGUGCCCACUGGGGAAAAUAAAUCAUUAUUUGCAAGAAACAUAGCUGGCAUGCGCUAAUAUGGAAACCAAACCAUUCUUGUCUCUAGGGCUCCUGAAAAACCCCUGCUCAGUAGCGCCACCGUGUUUGCGGAGCCGGCCGGGCGACGCUGGCAGUUCGUCCAAUGGCUGCUCCGGCUUCACGGGUACAUACCCGCUACAACAGCGCACAAUUCUGACUAGUCUUCACAUAUAGGAAGUAAAAAAGCAACUUAGUGGGAUAAUUUCUAUUG